UUUGAGUGAUAGGACUUAGUCAGAUAUCUUUUGUAUCAAAAUUCUGUUUCCCUAUUUUUAUCCAUAAUCACAUUCUACUUCUACACGUUUCCCACACAAUACACAAACUCUUUGGAAACUAGGGUAUAACUGUCUAUAGUCUAUGCAUAUAGACACAUUAUACACAAAAAUAGAGACACAAAAAUAUACGUGCAUUGCUUACAGUGAUAGAAGAGGCAGAAAAGGAAAAGAAAAGACGGGAACGUGAUUUUGUUUUGACUUCCAAAAUUAAAGCAGUUUAAUAAGGUAGGAUAUGAGGUGCAGUAUUUUUUUUAUGUCCCAUUUAAUUAAUAUUUUUA
rnacentral:lncRNA from 1 species